rnacentral:lncRNA from 1 species
GAAAUCUAAUUAAGUAUUGAAUUAGAUUAGGUCAGUAUAUUUCUAAGUCAAUCUCAAUAGUUGAAGUUUGAUCAAGUCCAUAUUUUUGACCCUAAUAAAUGGACCAUAGUCAUGACUCCGUGGUUGAGCCCGAAUCUUCUGGUGGACCAAAUCGAAACUAAUUAACCAGUUGGUGUCUAAGGUAAGUUUGGCAAAUUCGAUCAAGUGAAUUUUAAUUGAGAGCUAUUCAUCUAGAUGCGUCUAUGGUGAGUUAAAGGCAUAUCCUUCCCACU